UCAAAAAUAACAAAAAAACUUAAUAAUAUAUAAUGAUCAAUUUGAUGAUUUAAUAUUAUUAUUUAUAUUCAUUAUUUAUUAUUAUUAUUAAUAAUUCUAUUAACAUAUAUAUAUUUUUUCUUUUUCAAAUAUGCGAGUAAUUGAAAAAGAAUGAAAUAAAAAUGAUAUUGUUAAUAGAUGAAAAUGAAUGAUAAUAAUAAUAAUAAUAAUAAUAAUGAUAUAAUUUUUAUAAACGGUGAUAUUCGUUGGUGUCUAUACUUUAUCAAAGUUAUCGCCUUACCGUCGAUAACAAUGACGAUAAAGUGAUAGCUUAAUUGAUUUUAAUAAUGAAAUUAAUUCAUUUUAUAAAUCAAUUAAGUAGACUUAAUAAGCAUUUUAGCUAGUAUGCUACCAACAAAAUAAAUCUAUACACAUAUGUAAACAAAAAUAUAUUCAAUUUUUAACAAAAAUAUUU
rnacentral:misc_RNA from 1 species